UCCAUUUAUCACAAGUUGGCUGUUAUAAAGUUUCCAAACUGACCAAAGACCAACGAAUGACUUCUGAAGAAGGGUGGAUUUAUUUGUAGUUUAGUUAAACAAUAAUUUGCCCCGUCAGUGAUAUGGUUUGAAUGCUGCCUGAACGUUCCGAAUUUGGCAGACACGGUGAGGACAAUGCUGAGGAAAAUUGCCACAAACAAAGUCCUGGAGCAGCUUGGCCUCCGUGGAAAGUCAGGAAAAGUGGCGUUUGAGGACUUGCCCCUUUACAGAAUAAUAAAUAAGGCAUGCAGGGGUGUUUACAAGCAGAUGACCACAGCGGAAGUGGAUUGUGAGCUUGGAGAGGUCCUGAAACUGGCCACUUUUCG